rnacentral:rRNA from 1 species
UACGUAGGUGGCAAGCGUUGUCCGGAUUUAUUGGGUUUAAAGGGUGCGUAGGCGGCCCUGUAAGUCAGUUGUGAAAUACGGCAGCUUAACUGUCGAGGUGCAAUUGAUACUGCAGGGCUUGAGUACUGAUGAGGUAGGCGGAAUGGACGGUGUAGCGGUGAAAUGCUUAGAUAUCGUCAAGAACACCUAUAGCGAAGGCAGCUUACUAGGCUGUAACUGACGCUGAGGCACGAAAGUGUGGGGAUCAAACAGG